AUUACCUCAGUAACGGCGAGUGAAGCGGUAACAGCUCAAAUUUGAAAGCUGGCUCUUUUAGGGUCCGCGUUGUAAUUUGUAGAAGAUGCUUCGGGUGUGGCCCCGGUCUAAGUUCCUUGGAACAGGACGUCAUAGAGGGUGAGAAUCCCGUAUGUGACUGGGUGCUUUCGCUCAUGUGAAGCUCUUUCGACGAGUCGAGUUGUUUGGGAAUGCAGCUCAAAAUGGGUGGUAAAUUUCAUCUAAAGCUAAAUAUUGGCCAGAGACCGAUAGCGCACAAGUAGAGUGAUCGAAAGAUGAAAAGCACUUUGGAAAGAGAGUUAAACAGUACGUGAAAUUGUUGAAAGGGAAGCGCUUGCAACCAGACUUGCGCGCUGAUGAUCAUCCGGGCUUCUGCCCGGUGCACUCGUCUGCGCUCAGGCCAGCAUCGGUUUCGGUGGUGGGAUAAAGGCCUUGGGAAUGUGGCUCCUCUCGGGGAGUGUUAUAGCCCUCGGUGCAAUGCCGCCAACCGGGACCGAGGACCGCGCUUCGGCUAGGAUGCUGGCGUAAUGGUUGUAAGCGACCCGUCUUGAAACACGGACCAAGGAGUCUAACAUCUAUGCGAGUGUUUGGGUGUCAAACCCAUACGCGUAAUGAAAGUGAACGGAGGUGAGAACCCUUAAGGAUGCAUCAUCGACCGAUCCUGAUGUCUUCGGAUGGAUUUGAGUAAGA
rnacentral:rRNA from 1 species